rnacentral:lncRNA from 1 species
UAAGAUUCUAAUAGUGAAACAUGAUUAUGGCCUCUUUUUUUCCCUGACUGCGGGAUGAAAUUUCUCCCAUCCCUUCUCCAGCCAAUGCCAAAGGUUGCACCAGUGCCAAGCUUCUCCCCAGUCCUUCUCCAUUUUGUUGUGGGUGUCAUUUGUGCCAGUGGGCCCAUCUAGAAGCAGCAGAGAUGAUUCAGGCUGAUGAUUGAGAAAGCUAGGACUAGGAAAGAAAAUCCUGGAAGUCUGGGUCCAGGGUGAAGCUUACUGCUUCACUGUCAGAGGAAGGGGGGAAAUAUCGUUCUAUAUGUGCUCAUUCUACUUAUUUCCAGCCCUGCUAUUUCUGCUGCAAGCUGCAAUUUCCACAGUAGGUUCAAUGAGAGGUUCACACAGCUGAUGCUUUCACACUGGAGCCUAGAGCAUCAUGCCUGACUCACUGCUCUCCUGCUAACCCUUUAUGGGAGAGACAGAUGAGAGGUUCCCAAAUUGUGCUGAUUCUACACUUUCCUGUAGGAUGAAGUCUUGCCCCCACUUAUUAUAAAGGUGCUGGAAGAACAAUCCCCUGGUUUGUUUCUUGAUUCCUGCAGUCUCAGCUAUUUGUGUAAUCCCAUGCAAAUCAAGUGCUCAGCGUAACAAUGGGUCAGAGCCUAUAAAAGAAGUUAAUUAUGCAGCUUGCUUUGUUUGUAGGCAUGGAUCUCUCUGUUCCACUCCCUUCUGCCAUCAAACAGAUGGCUUUUUGGACAUUGCUUCACUACAGAGGCUCUCAUGUGCCAGAGGCUGCUCAGAGAAUCCCAGGCCAUGGCAGAAUUCCGUGGCACCUCCUGGCCUCAGGUGCAGCUCCAGGACACUUUCCCAUCAUUACUGAGGCCCUCAGGCACUUUGUUGAUCAGAAGGCUGCUGGCAGUGACACCCCUGCAGGAUCUGUGAACUCUUACUAAGGCUGAGAUCAGGCACCACCAGAAGAGCUGGGUGCCUGCACAGCCGCAGGACUUCAUUGCUGCAUGCCUGAGUGAGAUGUUAAAGGUAACUAGUAAUUGUAUCUUAGGCAGCUGCUACAUAUUUCAAAUGCUUCUAGUUAAAGUAUUUCCAGCAGCACUCCUCCUUCCUCUCAUUUUCUUCCGGAGAGACUGUUGAGCUAUUUCUUUAUUUGAAUUCCACCUAAAACAUGAAGUGAGUGAUGUUCCAUUUUAGACUGAAAGAAAACUUACUGGGUGCUGUCUUCCUCUUCAGCAGGAUCAUAUUUUUUAACAGAAUAACAAGGCUGCAGUCUGACCAGCUCCAUCAACUCAGUAUGGAACCUGUGAUGAAAAACAGAUCUGUUGUUGGGAAUUUGCUAUGCCGUUAACACAGUCUUACAUCUCACUGCCUGUCUCCUAUCUGCAGGCAAAGGAUUACACACGCUCUACAUUCAGAGUGCAAUGACCACAGAUCUCUUCAGAGUGGGCUCAGACACCACCUUCACUUUAUGCUGAGCACUCCACAAUGGUAUAUCUGGAAGUGCAAGGUUAGAAAUGUGUGUAGCUGCACUUAGAUGUGUUGUGUCCUUGCUCAUGGCUCACGUUGACUCAGCUGCCCUGAUCCUCCACUGUAAGGUGGCUUGGGAAUUUUGAGUUGCUGUAUUGAGUCUGCACAUCAGCAAUUCUUGCAUGCUCAUUAUUAGUCCUUUUUUUUUAAAUUCAGAAUGACUCCAAGAAGUGUCAGAUGCUGUCAUUUGUCCAUCCUGUGGACCACAGAAGGACUGAACAACCCUGCCACAUGCAAAAGCAGUUUUACAAGAGACUGUGUGUUACAACAGCACGAGUGAGCCCAGGGCAUAUGGGGACACAGGACACCACAGUGCAAGGCUUCCCUGUCACUAAGGUCUCGUAACGCCACUAAGCUUUGGGUACAACCCUGAGACAAAGCAAAGUUAGCCAUCAAAUCUUGUGUUUACAUUUC